UACGUAGGUGGCAAGCGUUGUCCGGAAUUAUUGGGCGUAAAGCGAGCGCAGGUGGUUUAAUAAGUCUGAUGUAAAAGGCAGUGGCUCAACCAUUGUGUGCAUUGGAAACUGUUAGACUUGAGUGCAGUAGAGGAGAGUGGAAUUCCAUGUGUAGCGGUGAAAUGCGUAGAUAUAUGGAGGAACACCGGUGGCGAAAGCGGCUCUCUGGACUGUAACUGACACUGAGGCUCGAAAGCGUGGGUAGCAAACAGG
rnacentral:rRNA from 1 species